rnacentral:rRNA from 1 species
GAUGAACGCUGGCGGCGUGCCUAAUACAUGCAAGUAGAACGCUGAAGCUUGGUGCUUGCACCGAGCGGAUGAGUUGCGAACGGGUGAGUAACGCGUAGGUAACCUGCCUGGUAGCGGGAGAUAACUAUUGGAAACGAUAGCUAAUACCGCAUAACAGUAGAUGUUGCAUGACAUUUGCUUAAAAGGUGCAAUUGCAUCACUACCAGAUGGACCUGCGUUGUAUUAGCUAGUUGGUGAGGUAACGGCUCACCAAGGCGACGAUACAUAGCCGACCUGAGAGGGUGAUCGGCCACACUGGGACUGAGACACGGCCCAGACUCCUACGGGAGGCAGCAGUAGGGAAUCUUCGGCAAUGGACGGAAGUCUGACCGAGCAACGCCGCGUGAGUGAAGAAGGUUUUCGGAUCGUAAAGCUCUGUUGUAAGAGAAGAACGAGUGUGAGAGUGGAAAGUUCACACUG